rnacentral:rRNA from 1 species
GCUUGCUCCAUCACAAGAGGCGAAUGGCGAACGGUUGAGUAACACGCGGGUAACCUGCCCAUCAUAAGGGGAUAACACUUGAAAACAGGUGCUAAUACCGCAUAACACUAUUUUCCGCAUGGUUGAAAGUUGAUGGGCUCUUUUGCGUCCCUGAUGGAUGGACCCGCGGUGCAUUAGACAGUUGGUGAGGGCACGGCUCACCAAGGGAACGGUGCCUAGGCGACCUGAGAGGGUGAUCGACCCCUCUGGGACUGAGACACGGCCCAUACUCCUACGGGAGGCAGCAGUAUGGAAUCUUCCUGAUGGACGAAAAUCUGACCGAUCAACACCGCGUGAGUUUGAAGGUUUUCGGAUCUAAAACUCUGUUGUUAGAGAAAAACACGGAUGACAGUAAAAUGUUCAUCCCUUGACGGUAUCUAUCCCUAAAGCCACGCCUAACUACUUGCCAGCAGGCGCGGUAAUACGUUCGUGGCAAGCGGUGGCCGGAUUUAUUGGGUCUAAAGCGUGCGCCGGAGGUUUCUUAAGUCUGAUGUGACUGCCCACGGCUCAACAGGGGAGGGUCAUUGGAAACUGGGAGACUUGAUUGCAUUCCAGGAGAGUGGAAUUCCUUGUGUAACGGUGAAAUGCAUACAUAUAUGGAGGAACGCCAGUGGCGCAAGCAGU